AUAAGACUAGCAUAUGUAAAGAACAACAUUAAGGAAGGCUUAUAGAAGAAUUGGGACAUACUAUAAAGAUCAUCUAUCCAGUGAGAUGGGCAGGCUCUCUUCACUUCAAAAGACUACCAAGUCCAGCUAAGCAAUGAGAUAACUCCAAAAAUAAAUGAGGAACUAUUGAAGUGAUAUGUAAAUGGACGUACAGCUAGAAUCAAAUUUGAUUUUGCUUUGUUUCAAGAACAAUAUGGAAGAAAUAAAUCUGACAUGCCAACUGCUGACAUAAAUAUAUCAAAACAUAAAAAUCUGAAGUGAAAAAGACAGGCUGUAGCUUAUACUGCUUUACCUCGGAGAGGGUACAGUCAACAUCAGCUCCAAGGGAAGAAAAUGAUCAGGAGGAAGAGAAUAAAGAGAAGGAAGAAAAGGAAGAGGAGGAAGAAGAAUAUCACAUCAACAAAUUUGUAUUGCAGGACUACUCUACACAGAGAUGGUUCUAAGCACUGGGAAUACAGGACUGAACAAGAGAGGUCUACUUAUGAGGAAUGGAAUUUUGGAAAGGAAGAUAACAUCUAAUUGAGAAUCGAUAGCUUUUUGAUCAAAAACAACUGCACAUGUUCAUCUGUUAACGGUAAUCUGUAAUGAUUUUUUAUAUAUGUCCUCUUUGAAAAUACUUUCUCACAUAGAUCCCGCCAAACACUGAUUAUCAAUUCACAAGCAAAUUAUUUUAAUUAAAUAUAUGCAUCUUUUGGAAGGCAUUUAUAGAAUUCCAUUAGAUUUUUGUUCUGGAUAUUUGCCUUUAAGCAAUUAUUAUAUUGCAGAUUUACAAUUCCAAUUGAAAAUUAAGCAGAAGCUCCUCAAUAGCAUAAUUAAAAUGAAUUUUGACAUAUGAAAAUUUACUUUGCACUAGUUUGAGUUUGGAAAAUCUAUCUGGUGCAAAAUUGGGUGGGAAUGAGGAUCUGGCUUCUUAACUGUUGAGAGAACAUGCAGUGCAUAAAGUAACUUGACAUUGCUUGUGACUCAAAGUGUUUAAGUUGUUGAAAUAGUUUUACUACAGUAUAAGUUUCACAUUUGAAUACUGUUUGACCAUGUAGUUUAUGUUGAAUUCAUUAUGAAACAUCAAAUCUGCUGCAAAAACUAACUUAAUGCUAUUUGUUUUCUGAUUAUAGUGGUUGAGGGCAUUUCUUUCUUUCCAGAAAAAUUUCUGCAUCAACCCUGAGCUGAAAAUAUUGCAAUGAAACUUGACCACUGCUAAGCUAUUGAAAUGUGCGAUAGGGUGAGUCAGGAUACUCAGUUUUCAUUUCAGUCAAAAAUUCACAAAACUGACAAUGGUUGAGUCCAUGAGAGGGAAUGAAUUUCACUGUUGACACUACUGAUUCAAUAAAACAUAAUAGAUUUUAGCAUUUUCCUCAAAAACCUGCUGGUGAAUAGUAAAGUGGGCAAUGAUGGGCUUUAAACCCUUUACAUUUUCAUAUGUCUUGUAAGUUUGUUCAAAUAAGCCUUUCCCUGCUCCAUAUGUAUUUUUAUUAUCAGUCGUACCAGCAGACCCCAUUUCACGUUGUACUGGAUUCAAGCUUUCUCAACUUCCAUAAAAAAUUCCUCACCUCCCCUAGUUUUGUGCAGACCACUCUUAGGGGUUAAUUAUAUAAUCAGUUAAAGCUUGAUAUUGACUCAUCAAAUAAGUAACAACUGAUGAGUGUUAGCAACAUCUGUGAACUCAUCAGGAGCAAUGCAAAGCCAGUCAAAAUCAUUUGCUUUUAAAAAAUAAGGUAAAUUGAUUAUCAAUGCUGCUCCCAGUGUCCUUAACUCAUCAAGUAACUGUUCUGGCUAAAAGGCUAAUCAUAUUAAACAAGUUUGUUUUCUCUAAACACAUUUCUUCAGCUGCUCAAAUCUAACAUGAUUUAAAUAACUCACCAUUGGUAAAUGGCUUUUCUUGCUUGGCUAAAAAAUGGGACAUUUGAAAUUUUAUUAUGGUUGUAGCCUCAGUCUCAUUUGUUAUUUUUGUGAAGAAAUUCUACUGUGAUGAGAUACGCUGUUUUAAAUUUUCUAGUUUUUCUAAACAUUGCAUUUCUGUGAGUAGGAAAUAUUGUGAACAAUGCUUAGUUUGUUAAUGUCAAUAUAAUUUUUUUAAGAAUAGAUAUAUCAUCGUUGGGCAAUUUGCUAUCAAAUUCAGUACAAAAUAAUUCAUACUCA
rnacentral:lncRNA from 10 species